CAUUCAAGAACAAACGGUUUCAAACUUUACAAGCUCAAGUACAGGGGAACAUAUUCCAGGAUUUGCCAUGCACAUACCAAUUGUGAUAAUCCUAGUGGAGGGUGAUGUAGAUGACAUCAAACAUGUUGCUAAAGCUGUUCACAGAAAGGUUCCUGUAAUUGUCAUCAAGGGUUCUGGAAAAGCUGCGGAUAUUAUUCUGGACUAUCUCAAAAGUGAGAGCAACCUUCGUAGCCAGGCAGCACUUUUAUUUGGACUUAAGUUUGAAGACAAACAUUUCAAAGAAUUA